rnacentral:rRNA from 1 species
UGGGGAAUAUUGCACAAUGGGCGCAAGCCUGAUGCAGCGACGCCGCGUGGGGGAUGACGGCCUUCGGGUUGUAAACCCCUUUCGGCGGGGAAGCAAGCCCCUUGGGGCUGGAGGGUACCCGCGGAAGAAGCGCCGGCUAACUACGUGCCAGCAGCCGCGGUAAUACGUAGGGCGCGAGCGUUAUCCGGAAUUAUUGGGCGUAAAGAGCUCGUAGGCGGUUUGUCGCGUCUGCUGUGAAAGCCCGGGGCUCAACCCCGGGUGCUGCAGUGGGUACGGGCAGGCUGGAGUGCAGUAGGGGAGACUGGAAUUCCUGGUGUAGCGGUGAAAUGCGCAGAUAUCAGGAGGAACACCGAUGGCGAAGGCAGGUCUUCUUGGGCUGUAACUGACGCUGAGGAGCGAAAGCGUGGGGAGCGAACA